rnacentral:other from 1 species
GAAAACCUGGGGUGUGCGAUACUUCCGUAUUUUUGAACCUACAAAACUUUAAACGGGAUUCCUAUAUCUCUGUAAUAUGCCAGGCCUCCGAAUACGCAGGGGAAGGCAGAAAAGCAGAUGCGGUCGCCCACCUGGCCUCAGGCUAGGAGUCAAAAAACGGAAAACGGCAUUUCCGGGGAUCUA